rnacentral:rRNA from 1 species
UACAGAGGGUGCUAGCGUUGUUCGGAAUCAUUGGGCGUAAAGGGCGUGUAGGCGGUUUGUUAAGUCAUGUGUGAAAUCCCUCGGCUUAACCGGGGAACUGCGUCUGAUACUGGAUGGCUUGAAUCCGGGAGAGGGAUGCGGAAUUCCAGGUGUAGCGGUGAAAUGCGUAGAUAUCUGGAGGAACACCGGUGGCGAAGGCGGCGUUCUGGACUGCAACUGACACUGAAAAACGAAAGCCAGGGGAGCAAACGGGA